rnacentral:rRNA from 1 species
AUUGAACGCUGGCGGCAGGCCUAACACAUGCAAGUCGAACGAGUGGCGGACGGGUGAGUAAUGUCUGGGAAACUGUCUGAUGGAGGGGGAUAACUACUGGAAACGGUACCUAAUACCGCAUACCAUCGGAUGUGCCCAGAUGGGAUUAGCUAGUAGGUGGGGUAAAGGCUCACCAGGGCGACGAUCCCUAGCUGGUCUGAGAGGAUGACCAGCCACACUGGAACUGAGACACGGUCCAGACUCCUACGGGAGGCAGCAGUGGGGAAUAUUGCACAAUGGGCGCAAGCCUGAUGCAGCCAUGCCGCGUGUGUGAAGAAGGCCUUCGGGUUGUAAAGUACUUUCAGCGGGGAGGCGUUACCCGCAGAAGAAGCACCGGCUAACUCCGUGCCAGCAGCCGCGGUAAUUC